AAAAGUUGUACAGACAACAGAGUAGCCUCAGCCUGGUAUCACAGGAGGUAGAGAGUGGUGAACCAGGAGCUGGGGAUAUGAAGACCAUGGUAGAAAGCUAACCUGGAACUCGCUGGAGG